UACGUAGGGCGCAAGCGUUGUCCGGAAUUAUUGGGCGUAAAGAGCUCGUAGGCGGCCUGUUACGUCUGCUGUGAAAUCCCGGGGCUUAACCCCGGGCGUGCAGUGGAUACGGGCAGGCUGGAGGCAGGGCAGGGGAGAACGGAAUUCCCGGUGUAGCGGUGAAAUGCGCAGAGUAUCGGGAGGAACACCGGUGGCGAAGGCGGUUCUCUGGGCCUGUACUGACGCUGAGGAGCGAAAGCGUGGGGAGCGAACAGG
rnacentral:rRNA from 1 species